rnacentral:rRNA from 1 species
UUUCCGGUUGAUCCUGCCGGACCUGACUGCUAUCGGAUUGAUACUAAGCCAUGCGAGUCAUUGUAGCAAUACAAGGCAUACGGCUCAGUAACGCGUAGUCAACCUAACCUAUGGACGGGAAUAACCUCGGGAAACUGAGAAUAAUGCCCGAUAGAACAUUAUGCCUGGAAUGGUUUAUGUUCCAAAUGAUUUAUCGCCGUAGGAUGGGACUGCGGCCUAUCAGUUUGUUGGUGAGGUAAUGGCCCACCAAGACUAUUACAGGUACGGGCUCUGAGAGGAGUAGCCCGGAGAUGGGUACUGAGACACGGACCCAGGCCCUAUGGGGCGCAGCAGGCGAGAAAACUUUGCAAUGUGCGAAAGCACGACAAGGUUAAUCCGAGUGGUUUCUGCUAAAGAAACCUUUUGUCAGUCCUAGAAACACUGAUGAAUAAGGGGUGGGCAAGUUCUGGUGUCAGCCGCCGCGGUAAAACCAGCACCUCAAGUGGUCAGGAUGAUUAUUGGGCCUAAAGCAUCCGUAGCCGGCUCUGUAAGUUUUCGGUUAAAUCUGUACGCUCAACGUACAGCUGCCGGGAAUACUGCAGAGUAGGGAGUGGGAGAGGUAGACGGUACUCGGUAGGAAGGGGUAAAAUCCUUUGAUCUAUUGAUGACCACCUGUGGCGAAGGCGGUCUACCAGAACACGUCCGACGGUGAGGGAUGAAAGCUGGGGGAGCAAACCGGAUUAGAUACCCGGAUAGUCCCAGCUGUAAACUAUGCAAACUCAGUGAUGCAUUGGCUUGUGGCCAAUGCAGUGCUGCAGGGAAGCCGUUAAGUUUGCCGCCUGGGAAGUACGUACGCAAGUAUGAAACUUAAAGGAAUUGGCGGGGGAGCACCACAAGGGGUGAAGCCUGCGGUUCAAUUGGAGUCAACGCCGGG